rnacentral:snRNA from 1 species
GUGUUCUCCUCGGAGACACGUAUAUUAAAAUUGGAACGAUACAGAGAAGAUUAGCAUGGCCCCUGCGCAA